rnacentral:rRNA from 1 species
UGGGGAAUUUUGGACAAUGGGCGAAAGCCUGAUCCAGCAAUGCCGCGUGUGUGAAGAAGGCCUUCGGGUUGUAAAGCACUUUUGUCCGGAAAGAAAUCCUUGGCUCUAAUACAGUCGGGGGAUGACGGUACCGGAAGAAUAAGCACCGGCUAACUACGUGCCAGCAGCCGCGGUAAUACGUAGGGUGCAAGCGUUAAUCGGAAUUACUGGGCGUAAAGCGUGCGCAGGCGGUUUGCUAAGACCGAUGUGAAAUCCCCGGGCUCAACCUGGGAACUGCAUUGGUGACUGGCAGGCUAGAGUAUGGCAGAGGGGGGUAGAAUUCCACGUGUAGCAGUGAAAUGCGUAGAGAUGUGGAGAAUACGAUGGNGAAGCCAGCCCCAUGGGCAAUACUGACGCUCAUGCACGAAAGCGUGGGGAGCAAACAGGAUUAGAUACCCUGGUAGUCCACGCCCUAAACGAUGUCAACUAGUUGUUGGGGACUUCAUUUUCCUUAGUAACGUAGCUAACGCGUGAAGUUGACCGCCUGGGGAGUACGGUCGCAAGAUUAAAACUCAAAGGAAUUGAC